CAUUGCUUUCCACAUCAUCUGAAACAAGGGGCCUAUCUAAGUCACCAACCUUGAGGGUGGGAGAACGGGAGGAGAAGAAGAAGCGCCAUGGUUUACAGGCGAGGAAGAUGAGGAGGAGAAUCAAAAGCAGCAUAAGGACGAGGACACCAACAAUGAUCUCCAGCAGCAUCAUCUCCAUAGUCGUCUCUUUCUCUCUCUACUUGUCUAUCUUACAGAUUAGAGAUUGGGUUCUGAUUUGCGAGAAACUCGCUCUGAAAUGGUCGCACAUUGCAUUUCACGC
rnacentral:misc_RNA from 1 species